CAGCCCUUCUGGUUGGGCUCCAAAGCAGUGACUGUACCAAGCUGAGAGGCAGAAACCUUGGAGUGUACUGCCUGCUGGAGCUGGUGCAGUGCUGGCCUCCCAAGAGUGGGGAGAAGCCUCAAGAAUAACCACCAGGACUUCCAAACACAGAGGAAAGAGCACAGUGAGGAAGUGAUUAGCAAGAUUACUGCGAGAGAUGAACUGACAGUAGUGGAGAAACAGGUGACCUCAUUUGAAUGACAUCAGCCUCCUGACAAGGGUUCCACUUGAAAGGACACUAUAACAUCUAGUGGCUGUUUAACACCAUGAGGUCUCCAAGUGUUUACUGCAAAUUGAAAACCAAUGAACAAGGACUGUGAAGUAAUUUGUCCUGUAGGUACUUCCCUUGCUCACUGUCCGAAGCUGAGGAAUGUGCAAAAACAGAAGGGCAAGCUCAGGUUACAACUCAUGACUUGUCUUCCACUGCAUCGGAGUUUCUAACUGGUGCAAAUGUUAUGAGGCUUCUCCACCUGUGUAAGAGGAACAAACAGCCUCACCCGGCCCCCACCAAUUUACAUCUGUGGUUGCUCAGUAUCAUCCUGUACAGCAGCAAAAGUACCUGCAUCUGGGACACUGCGCAGCAGCAAGAAGCUACAUUGGGUGAUUGUUCUUGCAAAGUAGGUACCUUGUGACAGCAUCCUGGCAUUCUAGGACAUCUCUGCACAUAUCAGGUGGCACACACAGACCACAGACAUACUUGCACUACCAUGGAGAUACCUGGUUUGCUUAUUGAAGUCAGCAUGGAAGUGCUUUUCAUUGCUAAGUAUUGCAUUAUGCAGCUGCUGCAUUCUUUUUUCUUCAUACCCAUAUAAGGGGAAAGCCAUGUAAAGCAAGUCUGAGACAUACACACACAGGUGGUGCCUCUGUACGCAGUAAAGAGUCUGUUUUCUGUUGUGUGUAGGGGAGAGGUAAAGUUCUCCUUCCCACUGCAGGGAAGAAAAAUACAGCCUCCCCAACAUGACAAGGUGACAGAUUCACUUCUUAGAAGAGAAUGUUCUUAGAAGAUGAGUGGUCAAGUCACGAGUAAAGGAGACAUCAGAAGAUGAGGAGGUGGCUACAAGCCUGAUUUUCUUCCCUGAAUUUUUUUGUCAGAUAGCAUUGUAGAUGAAGUCAU